rnacentral:rRNA from 1 species
UUAUAACUAUUUUUUUAUUUUAAAUAUAUAUUUCAGUGAAAUUUAUUAUUACUAUAAGUAGUUUACCUUUUGCAUAAUGGUUAAACUAAAAGAAUUUUAGGUUUUAUUACCCGAAUUAAGAAGAUCUAAGUAUUAAUAUAUAUUAGUAAAGAGACCUACAUGUAGCAUUAUGUAUAUAGAAAUUAAUCUUUAGUGGUGAAAAACCUUCAAUUUUUAAGAUAUCUGGAAACUUAUAAUAUAUAUAUAGUAUAACUAAAUGUCAAUUAAGUAACUAUAAGGUUAUUUAAUAUAAAAAUUGUUUAUUAAUAAAUUAGUAUAGGAGUAAAAUCUAUAUUAAUAUGUAUUUCUAAUUAUUAAUUAAUUUCUGAAUUUUUUUUUCUAAUAAGUAAUUCUCAAGAAUUUUUUUUUGAAUUUAAAAUGUUUAAAUUAGUAUUUAUAUUUAUUUUAAUUUAAGGAAUUCGGCAAAAAUUUUUGUCAACUGUUUAUCAAAAACAUAGCUUUAUGCGUAGUAUAUAAGGUUUUUUCUGCCCAGUGGUAAGUCUAAACGGCCGCAGUACUUUGACUGUGCUAAGGUAGCAUAAUAAUUUGGCUCCUAAUUAGAGUCUGGAAUGAAUGGGAAAAUGACGAAUUACUGUCUUUAAUUAAUAUUUUAAAAGUUGCUUAUGGGGUGAAAAUUUCCUAAAGAUAUACCAUAGACGAGAAGACCCUUAGAAUUUUAAUUUAUGAUUUUUGUUGGGGCGACAAAGUUACAGUGAACUUACUUAUAUAUUUUUUACAUAUCGGUUUCAGUUAAGAUAAAAUUACCUAAGGGAUAACAGCAUAAUUUUUCUUUAAGAUUGUGACCUCGAUGUUGGAUUAGGUUAUAUAAUAAUUAACAAUUAUUAUUAUUUUGUUCUGUUCGAACUUUU